GGUUCCACCUUUUGUGACCUUUCCAAGUUUCUCAAGCCUCCUCUGGCUCCUUCAAGUUUCACCGCCCCCAAAGAGGGACCUAGAGUUGGGAGGAGGAGAGGCCGUAGGAGCGCAUGCGAUAGGCUAGGAAAAUGGCCCCCUGCUUUCGGUUCUAGAGUCCCUAGUCUCCCGGCAACGAAGCAGCGGAAACUCCGCAGACGCCAGGAUUUUUAUAGCACGGAGGGAGAAUUGAGAUCACAGGAGGGUUCACCUAAAGGCCUUGCUUAAAUAGGGAUGGCAUCCACUCCUACCAGGAAUGAGGAGAAAAUGGGCAGCUGGCUGCCCCAACCUGCAGCCUCCUUGGGUGAAGCAGCAACCUCCUUGGGUGGAGAUCUGCUCUGACAGAAACCAUACCCAUACCAAGGCACACCUCCUGCCAUCCCCUCGUGACAAGGGAACUCUGCCUAGCAGUUUGACAUCUGGAGGAUGAUCCCAACCCUCUGUGGUGCUGCUUUUGGGCUCUCAUGCCUUGCCCCAUUCUGUCCCUCUAGAACAUGCCUCAAAGCUCCUCUUUCAGAACUCAUUAAAUACUUGGGUUUGGGGGUGAUUCAUAGUCAUGAGCAGCAUCAACCCUUAAGCUUCCAGAAUGUUCUGGAACCAGCACACACCUCUCCAUCCUCAGCUGGCAACACCACUACCAGAAAUCAAAGGCUUUAAUAAAAACACAGAGAUCCUGCCUUCCUCCCAACCCAGGCGUGCUCUGGUGUGGCUUCUCUGGGGUAGAGAUGUGAGAGUGGCCCUUUUUUUUUGGCCAGAUGUGUGGGCAUAUUAUUGGAAUGAUUUUAAUUCAGUUAUUAACCUGUUGGCACAGAUGAGCUCAUAGGUCCAAACCAGCCUCCUAGGCAAACUCCAGCACCUUAAGGUACAGUUCUGUGGCAUCUGAGACGGUCCACCCUUGCUUCUGAAGAGCUACCUUUGCCACCACUGUCAGUGGUGAGAUCUCCCCUCUGACCUUUGGGGCCUCAUGCCUACAGGAAUAUGUCACACCCAUUACUAGCCAGAAGACAGUGAGGUAGGCUUUGUGAAUUUGCAUUUAAAUCCCAAUCUGGCACUUAGUGGAGCCUCCUGAGAAAACCAGUUCACAUCUGAGCCUCAGUUUCCUUAACUGAAAAAUGGGAAUAAACUGUCUGUUUCACA